rnacentral:rRNA from 1 species
UUUAAGUUUUCAGCAUGCAGAUCCAAUUUUCUGCCACCGAAUACAUUAGCAUGGGAUAAUGGAAUAGGACCCUGUCCUCCUAUUUUCAGUUGGUUUUGGCAGCGCGAGGACUAGGGUAAUGAUUAAUAGGGAUAGUUGGGGGCAUUAAUAUUUAAUUGUCAGAGGUGAAAUUCUUGGAUUUAUGAAAGAUUAACUUCUGCGAAAGCAUCUGCCAAGGAUGUUUUCAUUAAUCAAGAACGAAAGUUAGGGGAUCGAAGACGAUCAGAUACCGUCGUAGUCUUAACCAUAAACGAUGCCGACCAGCGAUUAGGAGACGUUGAAUACAAAACACCACCAUCGGCGCGGUCGUCCUUGGCGUCUGUCCCUUUCAACGGGGGCAUGGCGCGAGGGCGGUUUAGCCCGGUGGCACCGGUGAAUGACUCCCUAGCACCUUUGUGAGAA